CCUACGGGAGGCAGCAGUAGGGAAUAUUGGACAAUGGGCGCAAGCCUGAUCCAGCCAUCCCGCGUGAAGGAUUAAGGCCCUCUGGGUUGUAAACUUCUUUUCUCUGGGAAUAAAAACCGGUAUUCAUAUUGGCUUGAAGGUACCAGAGGAAUAAGCACCGGCUAACUCCGUGCCAGCAGCCGCGGUAAUACGGAGGGUGCAAGCGUUAUCCGGAUUCACUGGGUUUAAAGGGUGCGUAGGUGGCUUUGUAAGUCAGUGGUGAAAUGCCGCAGCUCAACUGCGGAACUGCCAUUGAUACUGCUUAGCUUGAAUCACGUCGAGGUGGAUGGAAUAAUACAUGUAGCGGUGAAAUGCUUAGAUAUGUAUUAGAACACCGAUUGCGAAGGCAGUUCACUAGGCGUGUAUUGACACUGAGGCACGAAAGCGUGGGGAUCAAACAGGAUUAGAUACCCUGGUAGUCCACGCCCUAAACGAUGUAAACUCGACAUUAGGUCGAUAUACUGUUAGUGUCGACGACGAAGACGUUACGUUACCGUACCGUAGGAGUACGACCGACGAGUAGAACGUACGAAGAAGAGUAGACGNGAGACGACGCGACGACGACGACGAGGAGGAGG
rnacentral:rRNA from 1 species